rnacentral:lncRNA from 1 species
GUCCAACUAGCUAGUAGAGCUUGGAACUUUAUCUUUUAUACAAUUCAUUACUUUAUUGUAGUUCUUUCAAGUUUCAUCUUCUAAAAAGUCAGAUAUAGUAGUGUAGACUCUCUUCUUCAUACUACCGGCGUGAAUUCAUCCAUAAACAUCAUACUCCACCGCCAUUCUGAGUUGCAACCUUGAAGCAUCAUAUUCAUCUUUUGAAUCCCUAAACUAACUCAUGUAUACUGUAAACAAGAAACAAGGAAUGGUAAGCUUUUAUCUCUCUCACUCACCCUCCAUUACAUUUUUUCUUCUUCUACUCUUACCUUGUGUUGCAGAGAUUUUAGAUCCAUUAUUAUUGGUCUAAACCGUUUCAAUCCGUCCGAAUAACCCGCAAUCCGAACAACCCCUAACCCGUACAAUCCGAAGUGUUUGUUGGUCGAAAAUGGGUUUGAUAUUUGACACUUCGGUUUUGAGCAGUAUUGAAAUUUUCGGCCCGAACCC